AUGACGAACACAAAGGGAAAGAGGAGAGGCACCCAAUAUAUGUUCUCUAGGCCUUUCAGAAAACAUGCAGUUGUUCCUUUGGCCAAGUAUAUGCAAAUUGAUGAGAAAGGUGAUAUUGUAGAUAUCAAGGGAAUGGGUACUGUUCAAAAAGGAAUGCCCCACAAAUGUCACCAUGGCUAGACUGGGAGAGUCUACAGUGUUCCCCAGCAUGCUGUUGGCACUGUUGUAAACAAGUAAGGGCAAGAUUCUUGCCAAGAGAAUGAAUGUGCAUAUUCAGCACACUAAGCACUCUAAGAGCCGAGAGAGCUUCCUGAAACGCGUGAAGGAAAAUGAUCAGAAAAAGAGGGAAGCCAAAGAGAAAGGUACCUGGAUUCAACUGAAGCGCCAGCCUGCUCCACCCAGAGCAGCACACUGUGAGAACCAAUGGGAAGGAGCCUGAGCUGCUGGAACCUCUUCCCUAUGAAUUCAUGGCAUCG
rnacentral:lncRNA from 1 species